CAAGUCUCUGGCAUUGUGGGAGGAUUCUUUACCAUCUGAGCCCCCAGGGAAGCCCAAGAAUACUGGAGUGGGUAGCCUAUCCCUUCUCUAGGGGAACUUCCCAAUCCAGGAAUCCAACCAGGGUCUCCUGCAUUGCAGGCAGAUUCUUUACCAGCUGAGUCAUUGGGAAGCCCAAUUUUAGGCCUUCACAGUCUAAUUCUCAUUUGUCCAAUCGGGUAGCUGCCGACUGCUAUUACCUUGAACUGCUCGCUGAGUUUAUGCAAAGUAAUUUUAACAGGUAUUUGCCAGUUGCCUGAAGUGGAGACUCAACUGAAGGCUUUAAUAAUCCUUUAUUAGGCAGAUACCCACAUAUCUUUAUGGACAGACAAUGUACAGUUUGGCAUCAUUUAAAAAUGCCACCCAGCCUAUCAACUGAUGCCUAGAGAAUGUGAGCCUGAAAGAUAACAAUGUGUAGGCUGAGGCCACAGAUGUCACGUCAGUCAUCCUUGGCGGUUUUCUUGCACUGACAUUGGGAAGCAGCUUAUGGUCUCAGGAUGGACCGAAAAAUGAUUUUCGUAUUACUACUGUCAGGUUAUAUUUCCAGAGAACCUGUUGCAAACACGGCGUACAGAGACCGCUGUCACUUUGGACUUACCAGGUAAGUUACCAACCAAAGGAGAUGGGUAAUAGAUUUCCAGCCAUUAGCAUCAUAUCUGUGUAUUUAAUAAGCACCUAUCUGUGUGAUAUUCUAUGAUACAUGAGUCAAAUUAAAGCAACAACACUGAAAAGAAACAUUGCCAGGUUACCUCUGGCUCUUGGAAUUGGGGUAAUUUUUUUCUGCUAUUUCAGUUCAGUUUAGUUCAGUCAUUCAGUUGUGUCCAACUCUUUGCGACCCCAUGAAUUGCAGCACGCCAGGCCUCCCUGUCCAUCACCAACUCCCGGAGUUCACCCAGAC
rnacentral:tRNA from 1 species